CAUCAUGGUAAGUCUCGAGUGA
rnacentral:siRNA from 1 species